rnacentral:lncRNA from 1 species
CUGGAAGAUAGCAGUGAUGACACCACAAACGACCCCCGCAUAUACCAGCAACGGGAAACUUCCAAAGAACUGGCUGUGGCGGACACCCUAUCUUUCUGGCUCUGUGACCUUCCCCUUCCAGCUGCUGCCCCCACCAGCCUGCACCCCUGUUCUGAGAGGCCAUCCGCACCUCUCGGUGCCUGCCCUCCUGCCCGCCCUCCUGUGGGCCUGGCCUGCUCCACACCUGCUGUCCACGAGGAGGACCGGCUUGUGCUGCCCUCCGACUUGGCCACACUGGUUCCUGCUGCCUGCAGCUUCCAUUCUAACAGGUGUGGGGCUGAUCACGAACAAAUCCACUAAUGAAUAAAUCAG